CUUGUGGCCAUAUCAUGUUGAAACACCGGUUCUCGUAAGAUCACCGAAGUUAAGCAACGUUGAGCCUGAUUAUUACCUAGAUGGAUGACCGCUUGGGAAUACCAAGUGCUAUA